UGGAGCUGGAGUUUUACAAAGAAUGUUGCAGCUAGAGUGCAUCGUCAGAAGGACAGAAAGAUGCUCUGCACACCUUCACAAGAGGAUGGGACAAUCAUCAUUUAAAGUCUGAAGGUGGCCUCACCCCUAACCAGCUCUGGACCAUGGGACACAUGCAGAAACCUUCUCAUGAGACUGAAGAUGUGCAGAACCUAGAGCUCUUUGGAACUGACUGGGAAACGUUUGAUGGUGUCAGUGAAGAACCCUCUGGAGUUCAAGUCCCA